UCGACAAUAGUUUAUAAAAAACAAUAGAUUGUGAUUCUAAAGAAUAAGACACAGUCUUAUGUCGAC
rnacentral:tRNA from 1 species